rnacentral:rRNA from 1 species
GAUGAACGCUGGCGGCGUGCCUAAUACAUGCAAGUCGAGCGAAUGGAUUAAGAGCUUGCUCUUAUGAAGUUAGCGGCGGACGGGUGAGUAACAUGUGGGUAACCUGCCCAUAAGACUGGGAUAACUCCGGGAAACCGGGGCUAAUACCGGAUAACAUUUUGAACCGCAUGGUUCGAAAUUGAAAGGCGGCCGCGGCUGUCACUUAUGGAUGGACCCGCGUCGCAUUAGCUAGUUGGUGAGGUAACGGCUCACCAAGGCAACGAUGCGUAGCCGACCUGAGGGGGUGAUCGGCCACACUGGGACUGAGACACGGCCCAGACUCCUACGGGAGGCAGCAGUAGGGAAUCUUCCGCAAUGGACGAAAGUCUGACGGAGCAACGCCGCGUGAGUGAUGAAGGCUUUCGGGUCGUAAAACUCUGUUGUUAGGGAAGAACAAGUGCUAGUUGAAUAAGCUGACACCUUGACGGUACCUAACCAGAAAGCCACGGCUAACUACGUGCCAGCAGCCGCGGUAA